rnacentral:tRNA from 1 species
GCCGAUGUAGCUCAGUUGGUAGAGCACCCGCCUUGUAAGCGGGCGGUCACGAGUUCGAGUCUCGUCAUCGGCUC